CCGAUGACUGGGGGGCUGGGAGCUCCCAGAGCGUGGGUGCCAGGAGACGGAGGGGAGGCCAGCGUGUGCAGGCAGGUGGUGUGGCUGGGCAGGUACGCUGGGUUCUCCGAUGCCAGGCUGAGGAGUGGACAGUGAGAGGCACCGUGAUCAUGAGAAGGGGUGAGGGGAGGCCGAGGAACCUCAGGGAGAAAAUUACGCCGUGUUGAGUGGAAAAGGGGAGUAGUCAUGAGGACACAGACAUCUUCCUGGGGCCUGUCCUGGGCUGUGUGUCCUGGGCUGAGAGGUGUCAGGAGGGAUCAGGUGCAAAGGUGGGGGCACAGGGGGUCUGAAGUCACUAGUGAUGGGGACAGACUGAGGGUAGAAGUCCCAGGAGAGUCUUCAGGGCCCCUUUGCUCCCACCCCUCCACCUCACUCCUGGUGCCAGGUGGGGUGCCCGGACAGAGUCUCCCUCCCUCGUCACCUGCCAGCUCCAUCCAUGACAGCUCUCAUCCGGCACUUUCCAGUCCCCCCAGCACCUCUCCCCGGCCUGCACUGGUUCCCAGACUCGGGGACAGACCCCCUUCCAGAGCUGGGCUCCAAGUGACUCGAGUUCCAGUGUGAGAAGAACGGAGACCCCUGUCCGAGCCCCGACCGCCAAGGGAGCAGAGCACAAGACUGGGGACAGGGAAUUAGAUAAUAUGGCAUCUACCGGAAGACCGAAGAUGUGUGACUUUUUAAGGACAUCAUCAGUUUAAAGUGUUAUCACAAGAUGCACAAGAGUGUCCUCUGUUCACCCCCAUGGCAUGGGACCUUCCUAGGAAAUCCACGAUUUGCUUGAAGACGACUCUUGUCUCUGUUGCUGUAAACAUCUUUGCAAGCCUGAUGCUUUCCUCAUGGAGCUUGGUCCCACCCACGAAGGACUGGGCUGUCCAAAGUGGGGCUGAGCAAAUGCACGUUUCCACACUCCCUGCCCGGGGCCCAAACAGCUCAGCCGCCGUUCACCCCCUCCUCCCACGGCACGGAUGGGGAACCGUGAUCUACGUGUGUCUCAUUCACUUGUGCUGGAAUCCUGAAGCUUGGGAGCCAGCGCUCCGUGGGCGGACGCAGGGAGGGGGCCGGGCGGUGCAGCAGCCAGCCCGCAGCUGUCGUGCCCGGAUCACACCAGAGCACCUGCCGGGGUGGUCCUCGGAAUGUGGCAUCACCGUGACCACGAACGAAGCAAGGACCAGACACGGGCUCGGGGUGGGGUCUACCGUGACAGGCUGAAGAAGACCGGUACUCGUGGAGCAGAAGGAGGAAAGGAGAGGCAGUGUGGGGGAGCGGGCAUUGCGGUCAGGGCUGGGAUCGAUCCGCCUAUACCCUGAACCUCUCUGAGGCUCCUUUGCUCCUCUCUGAAACGAGUAGUGACAAGACCUUGCUCCUGAGUGUGGGUGUCUGAUACUGUCUUGCAUGGCGAGUGUGUCCUAACUCACGGCUCCUGCUUUGGGCUCUGGAGGGACAGGAGCAUGUCCAUCCUUGGACUGCGGUGGCAGUGGGAGGAAGACAGGCUCUUGGCGGGGUGGGAAUGUUGCUUUUAUAACUUACUAGCCGGGGGGGCUCUCGAUGGCAGGGUCACUUCAUCACGUUACGGUUUCUUACGUACGAAGCUUAGCUCAUGCGACCUGGCCUCCGGCAGGCCACCAGCUACAUCUUUGAGUAUGUAGCACCACGCUGGACCCUGGGUGAUGGAAGGCUUGGGGCGACGCAUGUGCGGGGCUCCCUCAAAGGGGACUGCGUGGGACUCGAAGCUGGACGUGCCUUCUCUCCUGCAAGAGGAGAGGUCUGCCUGCAAGGUCUGCCUGCAAGAGGGGCUCUCGGGGGGCCUGCCGCUCAGAAGGGGGGCGUCGUGACCCCCAGUGCCUCCCUGAGCUUGUCGCCCAGCUGCUGACUCCGGGGCAGCAUCACAGCCGUGGACACCUACGGACCCAGAGAGGGUGGGGACUCCUCCGUCCCCCACCUGCCGGGUGAUUGCUCACUACUUACCGCCUUUUCAUCUCAACAAUUUCAGGCCACAAAAAUAAAAAUAAAAUUGUAGCUCAGCUUUGCAAGCUUCCCAAAAGGAUAAAAUUAGAGAAGACACAGAACACGCAUCGAAAACCGUGUGAGGUGCCAUAGACAUAAAUGGUGGACGUGCCUCGUCACGCACACGGAGGGUGGGAGAUAGAUAAAGGGGCCGGUCUUUGAGACAAGUAGUCCCCUGGCCAUAGGCAUCAGGGCAGCAGCCGCCCGGCGCGUGUGGGUCCCUGGCUGGCCGACUGCGUUACCGGCUCAGGCAGGAGCUCAGUCCCUCAAGGAGAAGUCCCUAGGCACCUCAGGGCCCACUCGAGGCUCCCUGUCCCCCACCCCCGUCCUGGCUCGGGGGCAGGACAACAGGUCAGGAGCAGAAGCGUCUUCACUAGACAUAAGUGGGUGUGAAAUCUUUCCAUGAGACUUUAGGUUUUGAUAUUAUUUUAAACUUUCAAACCCAAAAGAUUUAUAAUUGACUAAUAGCUACAAAUUCGCGAAACUAGGGAGGAUCAAAAUCAGACCAAAUGUGCCGUCAUCUGUGAAGAAUUAUUAUUUGCUUCUUUUCUUCUUAUAAUCAUCAAUUUUAGGAAGCAGAUUGCCCAGAAUAAUUAUUUCUGAGUUAAAAUUGUUUUUUGUAAUUCAUCAGUCUCACAAUUGUGUGUAAUAAUCACGUCUAUUUAUUUUCUCUUAAGUAAUCAUGGUAUUUUCAUCAAAAUUCAUUAGAAGCUGCUUCUGGAAGGACAUGCUUUUAAAAUAUUCAAAUUUAUAGUUAAUGUUUUAUUAACCAUAUUUAGCCUAUAAUUAUUUUUCUAAUGAAAAUUAUCCUGAAUGCACCAUCUGAUGUUACGAGGCUAGUAGUUCAAACAGAAUUCAGAGAAACAUUUAUGCAUGGAAGCCUGUGUAUUAGUCAUUUGGAAGGAAGGAUUUAUGUGCUAUAUAAUUAAUUGUUGCCUGAGUUUGACAGUCCAUUUUUACUUGAAUGCGUUAUUUACACUGGUGGAGGCUUAGGGGUUCACCCUUCAAGAGGUUAGGAAACGUACAAAUACACACAUUAUCUGAGUAGUGGGUGCUUGUAUUGCAAUGAACAGUGGGGUGAGCGUGUGUGUGUGUGUGUGUGUGUGGUUUGCAUAUAGAAUGUACAUAUGUACACGCCCUAUGUACACAAUGUGUAUCCUUUGUAUGUGUCUAAUGUAGUCUA